CAAAGAGGAACGCUUGGCACCAUGUCUCUGCUCAACCCUGUCCUGCUGCCCCCCAAGGUGAAGGCCUAUCUGAGCCAAGGGGAGCGCUUCAUCAAAUGGGAUGAUGAAACUACAGUUGCCUCUCCAGUUAUCCUCCGUGUGGAUCCUAAGGGCUACUACUUAUACUGGACGUAUCAAAGUAAGGAGAUGGAGUUUCUGGAUAUCACCAGCAUCCGGGAUACUCGCUUUGGGAAGUUUGCCAAGAUGCCCAAGAGCCAGAAGCUCCGGGACGUCUUCAACAUGGACUUUCCUGACAACAGCUUCCUGCUGAAGACACUCACGGUGGUGUCCGGCCCGGACAUGGUGGACCUCACCUUCCACAACUUCGUCUCCUACAAGGAGAACGUGGGCAAGGUCUGGGCUGAGGACGUACUGGCCCUAGUCAAGCAUCCGCUGACGGCCAACGCCUCCCGCAGCACCUUCCUGGACAAGAUCCUUGUGAAGCUCAAGAUGCAGCUCAACUCUGAAGGGAAGAUUCCGGUGAAGAACUUUUUCCAGAUGUUUCCUGCUGACCGCAAGCGGGUGGAAGCUGCUCUCAGUGCCUGCCACCUCCCCAAAGGCAAAAAUGACGCCAUCAAUCCUGAGGACUUCCCAGAACCUGUCUACAAGAGUUUCCUCAUGAGCCUCUGUCCUCGGCCAGAAAUAGAUGAGAUCUUCACUUCUUACCAUGCUAAGGCCAAACCCUACAUGACGAAGGAGCACCUGACCAAAUUCAUCAACCAGAAACAGCGGGACUCCCGGCUUAACUCCCUGCUGUUCCCGCCAGCACGGCCUGACCAGGUGCAGGGCCUCAUCGACAAGUAUGAGCCCAGUGGCAUCAAUGUGCAGAGGGGCCAGCUGUCACCUGAGGGCAUGGUCUGGUUUCUCUGUGGGCCAGAGAACAGUGUGCUGGCUCAGGACAAGCUGCUGCUCCACCACGACAUGACGCAGCCACUCAAUCAUUACUUCAUCAACUCGUCCCACAACACCUACCUGACAGCCGGCCAGUUCUCAGGCCUCUCCUCGGCUGAGAUGUACCGCCAGGUGCUGCUCUCUGGCUGCCGUUGCGUGGAGCUAGACUGCUGGAAGGGGAAACCCCCUGACGAGGAGCCCAUUAUCACCCACGGCUUCACCAUGACCACAGACAUCUUCUUCAAAGAAGCAAUUGAGGCUAUUGCAGAAAGUGCCUUUAAGACCUCCCCCUAUCCCAUCAUCCUGUCGUUUGAGAACCACGUGGACUCACCCCGCCAGCAGGCUAAGAUGGCUGAGUAUUGCCGGACCAUCUUUGGGGAUAUGCUGCUCACAGAGCCCCUGGAAAAGUUCCCGCUAAAACCAGGUGUCCCCUUGCCCAGCCCCGAGGAUCUCAGGGGCAAGAUCCUCAUCAAGAACAAGAAGAACCAGUUUUCUGGCCCCACCUCCUCCAGUAAGGAUCCUGGUGGGGAGGCUGAGGGCAGCAGCCCACCCAGUGCCCCUGCAGGUGAGCGCACAGUGUGGGCUGGCGAGGAUGGGACUGAGCUGGAGGAGGAGGAGGUGGAAGAGGAAGAGGAGGAGGAGUCAGGAAACCUGGACGAAGAAGAGAUUAAGAAGAUGCAGUCGGAUGAGGGCACAGCGGGCCUGGAAGUGACGGCUUAUGAGGAGAUGUCCAGCCUAGUCAAUUACAUCCAGCCCACCAAGUUCAUCUCCUUUGAGUUCUCUGCCCAAAAGAACCGAAGUUAUGUCAUCUCAUCCUUCACAGAGCUCAAGGCAUAUGACCUGCUCUCCAAGGCCUCGGUGCAGUUUGUGGACUACAACAAGCGCCAGAUGAGCCGCAUUUACCCCAAGGGAACCCGCAUGGACUCCUCCAACUACAUGCCCCAGAUGUUCUGGAAUGCUGGAUGCCAGAUGGUUGCCCUCAACUUCCAGACGAUGGACUUGCCCAUGCAGCAGAACAUGGCAGUGUUUGAGUUCAACGGGCAGAGCGGCUACCUCCUCAAGCACGAGUUCAUGCGCCGGCCAGACAAGCAGUUCAACCCCUUCUCAGUGGACCGCAUCGACGUGGUGGUGGCCACCACCCUUUCCAUCACGGUGAUCUCUGGGCAGUUCCUGUCAGAACGCAGCGUGCGUACCUAUGUGGAAGUGGAGCUGUUUGGCCUUCCUGGGGACCCCAAGAGGCGCUAUCGAACUAAGCUGUCACCCAGUACCAACUCCAUCAAUCCUGUCUGGAAGGAGGAGCCCUUUGUCUUUGAGAAGAUCUUGAUGCCUGAGCUGGCCUCCCUCAGGGUGGCUGUGAUGGAGGAAGGCAACAAGUUUCUUGGACACCGCAUCAUCCCCAUCAAUGCCCUAAAUUCUGGGUACCACCACCUGUGCCUGCACAGUGAGAGCAACAUGCCCCUCACCAUGCCUGCGCUCUUCAUCUUCCUGGAGAUGAAGGACUACGUACCUGGUGCUUGGGCAGAUCUCACUGUGGCCCUCGCCAACCCCAUUAAGUUCUUCAGUGCCCAUGACAAGAAGUCUGUGAAGCUCAAGGAGGCCAUGGGAGGUCUGCCUGAGAAGCCCUUCCCACUGGCGAGUCCAGUUGCCAGCCAGGUCAAUGGGGCGUUGGCCCCAACGAGCAAUGGGUCACCAGGUAUGAGCUUCGGUCCGCACACCUACUGGGGGCACCUCCACCUCCGCACCCACAGGCACUUCCCUUUAAAAAAUUUCACCUGGGGAAAGUGCGGGGCAGGGGGCACAUACUGCGACUCCCAGGGGGUGGUGUGGGGGAGGCGAACGGAGCCUAGGGGCCCUCCAGAGCACCUGCCAGCCCAGCCCGUGGCUCUUGCAGCAGCCAGGGCCGGGGCCAGGGAAGAGGCUAUGAAAGAAGCUGCGGGUAAGGCCUGCUGAGCCCGGUGAUCUCGGGGAUGAGCCUGGGGCGGGUCCGGGGCUCCCUGGGGGUUGGACGGGCAGGACGGCCUGGCCGGUGGUGCGCCUCACCCGGGCCUCCGCAGAGCCGCGGACUGCCAGCCUGGAGGAGCUCCGGGAGCUAAAGGCCGUCGUGAAGCUGCAGCGGCGGCACGAGAAGGAGCUGCGGGAGUUGGAGCGGCGCGGAGCGCGGCGCUGGGAGGAGCUGCUGCAGCGGGGCGCGGCGCAGCUGGCCGAGCUCGGGCCACCGGGCGUGGGAGGCGUUGGGGCCUGCAAGCUGGGUCCGGGCAAGGGCUCUCGCAAGAAGAGGAGCCUGCCCCGCGAGGAGAGCGCCGGAGCUGCGCCGGGCGAGGGCCCUGAGGGCGUGGACGGGCGCGUGCGGGAGCUGAAGGACAGGCUGGAACUAGAGCUGCUGCGGCAGGGCGAGGAGCAGUACGAGUGCGUUCUGAAGCGCAAAGAGCAGCACGCGGCCGAGCAAAUCUCCAAAAUGAUGGAGCUGGCCAGAGAGAAACAGGCGGCAGAGCUGAAGGCCCUGAAGGAGACGUCGGAGAACGACACCAAAGAGAUGAAGAAAAAGCUGGAGACGAAGAGACUGGAGCGGAUCCAGGGCAUGACCAAAGUCACCGCAGACAAGAUGGCCCAGGAGAGAUGACGGAGAACUUGGAGGGGCACCAGGAGAAGCUGGAGGAGAAGCAGGCGGCUUGCCUGGAACAGAUACGGGAGAUGGAAAAGCAGUUCCAGAAGGAGGCGCUGGCAGAGUACGAGGCCAGGAUGAAGGGUCUAGAGGCAGAGGUGAAGGAGUCGGUGAGGGCCUGCCUCAGGACCUGCUUUCCCUCUGAGGCCAAGGACAAGCCCGAAAGGGCCUGCGAGUGCCCCCCAGAGCUGUGUGAGCAGGACCCACUCGUAGCAAAGGCAGAUGCCCAGGAGAGCCGCCUCUGAUGCCCCCAUCCCACUGGGACAUUUAGCAAGGAGGUUCAGCCCCUUCUCUGGGAUGUGGGUCUAUUCCCCCAGGAAAAAGGAGCCCCAGCCUUCUGAGGCUGUGGGAACCUGUGGCUGCCUUGGAUGCUGCAGCCCCCUCCUCAACGGCCAGGCCAGAGUCUGAGACAGGACCCAGGCACCCUCACGGCAGGGCCUCUCUGGGGCCUAGAAGUCUUCUCAAGCUGACUUCCUACCUCCCCGCCCCCAUCUCUAGAUAAGUGUCAUAUAUUUGUUGAGGGCAAAAGACUAUGGACUGGGAGGAAGAAAGUGGGAUCCUGGCCCCACUCUGCCUUUCCUAUUGAGCAACCAGCUCUGGGCUCAGUUUCCUCACCUGGAGGGUUGGACCCACCCACCUCCACUCUAGCCCUGAACCGUCCUGCCCCAGGCUUCCAGGCCCCAUCAGGCCUGCCCUGAGUUGGCCUUGUCCACUGCUUGAGGCAGAGCCUGGCACUACCUCACAGCUCCCUGGGGACGGCCACUCCCUGGCUGAGGGCUCUCCCCCUCCCCUCUGCCUGUCGGGAACAAGAACGGGAGUCUGAAAUGGAAAAGCUGUCUUGGCCCUGCUUGGCUGAGUCACAAGGGGCAGUGGCCUCUUGGGUGCUGUUCCACCCUGAACCUGGCUCACCCCUCUUCCUAGGCCUGGGGGCAGGCAGUUCCCAGCAUGUACCCCUCUCAGGCUGCCUGCCUGACAAGGUCAGCAUCAUUUGCUCUCCUGAAUUUAUGAGGUUUAUUUAUUUUUCUCUUUCCUACUCCUAUUAAAGAACCUUGUCCCAGUG
rnacentral:sRNA from 1 species